rnacentral:rRNA from 1 species
AUGAGAAAACGCAGACAAGAGCGUAAGCGCAAGGGCUUGGUCAUAGCGCUCAACACGUAUGCCAAGCGAAACAACAUUCAGCUCUCUGAGUUGGAAUUUGUGGAAGAGAAAGAGAGGAAUCAAGUCGAUGGAUGCGCAGCACUAUAUGUGCACUCCAACUUUCUGGUGAAAGGUUCAGAUGGCAAACAUACUAUGUUCUUUGCUGAGAUGCGACCUGACUGCACACAGGAAGAGGAUGUUGUUCUCUGCACACCUUUGGAAGAAAACAAUUAUGGUCAUUGUUACGGGUGCGAUGAUCGAGCAAAGGAGCUUAGGCAUCCCUCGGGCGGUGGCUACUUGGGUGGACAUAAUGAGAUGAUUUUUCACUUGGAGGAGCUGGACAGUGAUGAUGACUGUUUUAUGUGA